CGCAUUGGUCAAUUGCUGAUUUUAUAAUUAGAGGAAAGUCCGCUCUAGCACAGCCUGCGAUGGUUGUAGUGAUCGUGUUGGAUCUAAUAAAUCCAAGCCUAGACGACAAGUGCCACAGAGACGAGAAAAGUGAAACGCGGUAAACUCCACGAGCUAGAAACUCAAAUUUUGGUAGAGGAACUUUUGCAAGGUAAAUGAACUAAGCAAAAGAGGUAAUUUUUAAAAUAAUAAAAAUUACUUAGAUAAAUAAUUGACAAGGAUUAAAAAUCCUACAAAAAGCGGCUUAUAAAU
rnacentral:RNase_P_RNA from 2 species